rnacentral:rRNA from 1 species
AGAUUGAACGCUGGCGGCAGGCCUAACACAUGCAAGUCGAGCGGCAGCACGGGUACUUGUACCUGGUGGCGAGCGGCGGACGGGUGAGUAAUGCCUAGGAAUCUGCCUGGUAGUGGGGGAUAACGCUCGGAAACGGCCGCUAAUACCGCAUACGUCCUACGGGAGAAAGCAGGGGACCUUCGGGCCUUGCGCUAUCAGAUGAGCCUAGGUCGGAUUAGCUAGUUGGUGAGGUAAUGGCUCACCAAGGCGACGAUCCGUAACUGGUCUGAGAGGAUGAUCAGUCACACUGGAACUGAGACACGGUCCAGACUCCGUACGGGAGCAGCAGUGGGGAAUAGUUGGACAAUGGGGCG